ACAUUUCAAUAGAAGAUAAUAAUAGCAGGAAAAUUGAUGGAGUUGAAGAAAUUGAGUUACUCAAAUGAAGAUGAUGAUGAUAUUUUAUUUCCUGGAUUUCGGUUUCGUCCGACCGACGAAGAGCUUGUCGGAUUUUAUCUUAAAAGAAAGGUGGAAAUGAAAGCUAUUAAGAUUGAUCUCAUAAAAAAUAUUGAUGUUUAUAAGUACGAGCCAUGGGAUCUUCCAAAACAAGCGAGUAGUGCAGCAGGAGAUAAAGAAAGGGAGUGGUAUUUUUUCUGUAGAAGGGGAAGGAAGUACAAGAACAGCAUAAGACCUAACAGGGUGACAGGAUGUGGAUUCUGGAAAGCUACAGGAAUUGACAAACCAAUAUAUUCUGCAAGAGAAUUCCAGGACUGCAUUGGCCUCAAGAAAUCUUUAGUCUAUUACAGAGGAAGUGCUGGAAAAGGCACUAAAACUGAAUGGAUGAUGCAUGAGUUUCGCCUACCUGCUCCCAAAACUCCAUCUAAUGUUGCUAACAACCGAGAUCUUCAAGAAGCUGAGGUUUGGACACUUUGUCGAAUAUUUAAACGAGAAGCUUCUUACAGAAAAUACUCAUCGUCAAGUUGGCAAAAGUUUGCGUCCAAACAGACUUUUAAAGAUUCAGGCACUAAAAUGAGUUUUUCAGAAUCAUCAGAUGAUGGAUUUAAGUAUAAGAGUUUUGAAGUUUCAACUUAUAAGAUGAUGAAAAUGAAACCUGAUGCUAACAAUUAUUUGUAUGAAAAUAACCAGUUGCUUGCAGGCCAGCUGAGUUUAGCGACUCAAGUUCCUUUAAUGGCUUCACAUGUAAACUUUUGUGACCAAAGUGGAGAUGAAGCAAUAAGUUUUGAAGAUGGGACUUGGGAUGAGCUGAGGCCAAUGGUUGACUAUGCUCUUUGUCAUCCAUAAAUGUUGUCUGGUCUUAGGUAGAGAAGGAAUUAUAUUAAUUACACUUUGUUAUGCCAAUUAAUUAAUA
rnacentral:misc_RNA from 1 species